UCAGAUUGAACGCUGGCGGCAUGCCUUACACAUGCAAGUCGGACGGCAGCGCGGGAGGGGUAACCUUUCUGGCGGCGAGUGGCGAACGGGUGAGUAAUAUAUCGGAACGUACCUGGUAGAGGGGGAUAACGCCGCGAAAGCGGCGCUAAUACCGCAUACGCCCUGAGGGGGAAAGCGGGGGACCUGAAAGGGCCUCGCGUUAUCAGAGCGGCCGAUAUCUGAUUAGCUAGUUGGUGAGGUAAAAGCUCACCAAGGCGAUGAUCAGUAGCUGGUCUGAGAGGACGACCAGCCACACUGGAACUGAGAGACGGUCCAGACUCCUACGGGAGGCAGCAGUGGGGAAUUUUGGACAAUGGGGGCAACCCUGAUCCAGCAAUGCCGCGUGAGUGAAGAAGGCCUUCGGGUUGUAAAGCUCUUUUGUCGGGGAAGAAACGGUGGCUCCUAAUAUGGGCUACUAAUGACGGUACCCGAAGAAUAAGCACCGGCUAACUACGUGCCAGCAGCCGCGGUAAUACGUAGGGUGCAAGCGUUAAUCGGAAUUACUGGGCGUAAAGCGUGCGCAGGCGGUUGUUUAAGUCAGCUGUGAAAUCCCCGGGCUCAACCUGGGAAUGGCAGUUGAGACUGGACAGCUGGAGUGUGUCAGAGGGGGGUAGAAGUCCACGUGUAGCAGUGAAAUGCGUAGAGAUGUGGAGGAACACCGAUGGCGAAGGCAGCCCCCUGGGAUAACACUGACGCUCAUGCACGAAAGCGUGGGGAGCAAACGGGAUUAGAUACCCUGGUAGUCCACGCCCUAAACGAUGUCAACUAGUUGUCGGGACUUAAUUGUCUUGGUAACGCAGCUAACGCGUGAAGUUGACCGCCUGGGGAGUACGGUCGCAAGAU
rnacentral:rRNA from 1 species